GAUGAACGCUGGCGGCGUGCCUAAUACAUGCAAGUCGAGCGAACAGACGAGGAGCUUGCUCCUCUGACGUUAGCGGCGGACGGGUGAGUAACACGUGGAUAACCUACCUAUAAGACUGGGAUAACUUCGGGAAACCGGAGCUAAUACCGGAUAAUAUAUUGAACCGCAUGGUUCAAUAGUGAAAGACGGUUUUGCUGUCACUUAUAGAUGGAUCCGCGCCGCAUUAGCUAGUUGGUAAGGUAACGGCUUACCAAGGCAACGAUGCUUAGCCGACCUGAGAGGGUGAUCGGCCACACUGGAACUGAGACACGGUACAGACUCCUACGGGAGGCAGCAGUAGGGAAUCUUCCGCAAUGGGCGAAAGCCUGACGGAGCAACGCCGCGUGAGUGAUGAAGGUCUUCGGAUCGUAAAACUCUGUUAUUAGGGAAGAACAAAUGUGUAAGUAACUAUGCACGUCUUGACGGUACCUAAUCAGAAAGCCACGGCUAACUACGUG
rnacentral:rRNA from 1 species